rnacentral:rRNA from 1 species
GGAUGAACGCUAGCGGCAGGCUUAAUACAUGCAAGUUGAGGGGCAGCAUGAUAUACGCGAGUAUAUUGAUGGCGACCGGCGGACGGGUGAGUAAUAGGUAGGAGACCUACCUCAUACAGGGGGAUAGCAUAGAGAAAUCUGUGGUAAUACCCCAUGAGGUUAUAUGAAUAGAGGCAUAUAAUCAAAGCAUAAGUGAUUAUGCGGUAUGAGAGGGGCCUACUGACCAUUAGCUUGUUGGUGAGGUAACGGCUCACCAAGGCAACGAUGGAUAGGGGAACUGAGAGGUUGAUCCCCCACACUGGAACUGAGACACGGUCCAGACUCCUACGGGAGGCAGCAGUGAGGAAUAUUGGUCAAUGGACGAGAGUCUGAACCAGCCAAGUCGCGUGAAGGAAGACGGCCCUACGGGUUGUAAACUUCUUUUGUAAGGGAAUAAAUAGUCUUACGCGCUAAGACGUUGCAGGUACCUUACGAAUAAGGAUCGGCUAACUCCGUGCCAGCAGCCGCGGUAAUACGGAGGAUCCGAGCGUUAUCCGGAUUUAUUGGGUUUAAAGGGUGCGCAGGCGGCAUGUUAAGUCGGCGGUGAAAUUUUGCAGCUCAACUGUAAAAGAGCCUUCGAAACUGGCAAGCUUGAGUGUGGAUGAAGUAGGCGGAAUUUGUGGUGUAGCGGUGAAAUGCAUAGAUAUCACAAAGAACACCGAUUGCGCAGGCAGCUUACUAAACCAUAACUGACGCUCAUGCACGAAGGCGCGGGGAUCAAACAGGAUUAGAUACCCUGGUAGUCCACGCAGUAAACGAUGAUUACUGGCUGUUUGCGAUACAAUGUAAGCGGCUGAGCGAAAGCGUUAAGUAAUCCACCUGGGGAGUACGUUCGCAAGAAUGAAACUCAAAGGAAUUGACGGGGGCCCGCACAAGCGGAGGAACAUGUGGUUUAAUUCGAUGAUACGCGAGGAACCUUACCCGGGCUUGAAAUGCAUCUGACGUAUUCGGAAACGGAUAUUCCCUACGGGGCAGAUGUGUAGGUGCUGCAUGGUUGUCGUCAGCUCGUGCCGUGAGGUGUCGGCUUAAGUGCCAUAACGAGCGCAACCCUCAUCGUCAGUUACCAUCAGGUAAAGCUGGGGACUCUGGCGAGACUGCCAUCGUAAGAUGCGAGGAAGGUGGGGAUGACGUCAAAUCAGCACGGCCCUUACGUCCGGGGCGACACACGUGUUACAAUGGGUGGUACAAAGGGCAGCUACCUGGCGACAGGAUGCUAAUCUCCAAAACCACUCUCAGUUCGGAUCGGAGUCUGCAACUCGACUCCGUGAAGCUGGAUUCGCUAGUAAUCGCGCAUCAGCCACGGCGCGGUGAAUACGUUCCCGGGCCU